rnacentral:rRNA from 1 species
UGGGGAAUAUUGGACAAUGGGCGAAAGCCUGAUCCAGCCCUGCCGCGUGUGUGAAGAAGGUCUUCGGAUGGUAAAGCACUUUAAGUUGGGAGGAAGGGCAGUAAGCGAAUACCUUGCUGUCUUGACGUUACAGACAGAAUAAGCACCGGCUAACUCUGUGCCAGCAGCCGCGGUAAUACAGAGGGUGCAAGCGUUAAUCGGAAUUACUGGGCGUAAAGCGCGCGUAGGUGGUUCGUUAAGUUGAAUGUGAAAGCCCCGGGCUCAACCUGGGAACUGCAUCCAAAACUGGCGAGCUAGAGUAGGGCAGAGGGUGGUGGAAUUUCCUGUGUAGCGGUGAAAUGCGUAGAUAUAGUAAGGAACACCAGUGGCGAAGGCGACCACCUGGGCUCAUACUGACACUGAGGUGCGAAAGCGUGGGGAGCAAACAGG